rnacentral:rRNA from 1 species
UACGUAGGUGGCAAGCGUUGUCCGGAUUUACUGGGCGUAAAGAGCGCGCAGGCGGUCCGAUCAGUCGAAUGUGAAAGCCCCCGGCUCAACUGGGGAGGGUCAUUCGAUACUGUCGGACUCGAAGGCAGGAGAGGGAAGCGGAAUUCCCGGUGUAGUGGUGAAAUGCGUAGAUAUCGGGAGGAACACCAGUGGCGAAGGCGGCUUCCUGGCCUGUUCUUGACGCUGAGGCGCGAAAGCUAGGGAGCAAACGGG